CAGUCGCCGCGGGAAUACGAAGGGUGCAAGCGUUAAUCGGAAUUACUGGGCGUAAAGCGUGCGUAGGCGGUUUGUUAAGUCUGUUGUGAAAUCCCCGGGCUCAACCUGGGAAUGGCAAUGGAUACUGGCAAGCUAGAGUGUGUCAGAGGAUGGUGGAAUUCCCGGUGUAGCGGUGAAAUGCGCAGAGAUCGGGAGGAACAUCAGUGGCGAAGGCGGCCAUCUGUGACAACACUGACGCUGAGGCACGAAAGCGUGGGGAGCAAACAGGAUUAGAUACCCGCGUAGUCCCUGUCUCUUAUAC
rnacentral:rRNA from 1 species